GAUGAACGCUGGCGGCGUGCCUAAUACAUGCAAGUCGAGCGAACGGACGAGAAGCUUGCUUCUCUGAUGUUAGCGGCGGACGGGUGAGUAACACGUGGAUAACCUACCUAUAAGACUGGUAUAACUUCGGGAAACCGGAGCUAAUACCGGAUGAUCUUUUGAACCGCAUUGUUCAAAAGUGAAAGACGGUCUUGCUGUCACUUAUAGAUGGAUCCGCGCUGCAUUAGCUAGUUGGUAAGGUAACGGCUUACCAAGGCAACGAUGCAUAGCCGACCUGAGAGGGGGAUCGGCAAAACGGGAACGGAGACACGGUCAAGAGGACUACGGGAGGCAGCAGAAGGGAAUGUUACGCAAUGGGCGAAAGCAUGACGGAGCAACGCCGCGUGAGGGAUGAAGGUCUUAGGAUCGUAAAACUCUGUUAUGAGGGAAGAACAUAUGUGUAAGUAAAUGUGCACAGCUUGACGGUACCUAAUCAGAAAGCCACGGCUAACUACGUG
rnacentral:rRNA from 1 species